rnacentral:rRNA from 1 species
GAUGAACGCUGGCGGCGUGCCUAAUACAUGCAAGUCGAGCGAACAGACGAGGAGCUUGCUCCUCUGGCGUUAGCGGCGGACGGGUGAGUAACACGUGGAUAACCUACCUAUAAGACUGGGAUAACUUCGGGAAACCGGAGCUAAUACCGGAUAAUAUAUUGAACCGCAUGGUUCAAUAGUGAAAGACGGUUUUGCUGUCACUUAUAGAUGGAUCCGCGCCGCAUUAGCUAGUUGGUAAGGUAACGGCUUACCAAGGCGACGAUGCGUAGCCGACCUGAGAGGGUGAUCGGCCACACUGGAACUGAGACACGGUCCAGACUCCUACGGGAGGCAGCAGUAGGGAAUCUUCCGCAAUGGGCGAAAGCCUGACGGAGCAACGCCGCGUGAGUGAUGAAGGUCUUCGGAUCGUAAAACUCUGUUAUUAGGGAAGAACAAAUGUGUAAGUAACUAUGCACGUCUUGACGGUACCUAAUCAGAAAGCCACGGCUAACUACGUG